rnacentral:rRNA from 1 species
UACAGGGGGUGCAAACGUUGCUCGGAAUUAUUGGGCGUAAAGCGCGCGUAGGCGGCUACCUAAGUCGGAUGUGAAAGCCCCUGGCUUAACUGGGGAAGUGCACCCGAAACUGAGUAGCUAGAGUGCGAAAGAGGGUCGCGGAAUUCCCGGUGUAGAGGUGAAAUUCGUAGAUAUCAAGUGGAACACCAGUGGCGAAGGCGAAUCCCUGGAAAAUACCUGACACUGAGGCACGAAAGCUAGGGGAGCAAACAGG